UUCCCAAAUGUGGAAAUCUCGAUUGCAUAAUUUCUGGUAGUGGGGGACUGCGUUCGCGCUCUCCCCUG
rnacentral:snRNA from 8 species